GUUCAAGACCUCAUAACUUGAUUCUUCUUAUAGAUGAUCGAAAUUAAACCCAUCUCUUGUAAAUGGAAGAAAAAUCAACACCUUAAUUCUAAAUAAGAUUUCAAAUUUCUCUAUCAAAACAUCAACUACUCUUAAUUAAUCAACCUAUCAUAGGAUUAGAUUGUAAGUGACUCUAAUCUACUUCUUGUAGAAUAAUCUUCAAUAUCGAUAGAUAAUCUCAAACUUUUUCAAUCAGGUGGACAAGUGAUACU
rnacentral:lncRNA from 1 species